GGCUCAGAUUGAACGCUGGCGGCAUGCCUUACACAUGCAAGUCGAACGGCAGCACGGACUUCGGGUCUGGUGGCGAGUGGCGAACGGGUGAGUAAUGUAUCGGAACGUACCUUUCAGUGGGGAUAACGUAGCGAAAGUUACGCUAAUACCGCAUAUUCUGUGAGCAGGAAAGCAGGGGAUCGCAAGACCUUGCGCUGAUUGAGCGGCCGAUAUCAGAUUAGCUAGUUGGUGAGGUAAAGGCUCACCAAGGCGACGAUCUGUAGCGGGUCUGAGAGGAUGAUCCGCCACACUGGAACUGAGACACGGUCCAGACUCCUACGGGAGGCAGCAGUGGGGAAUUUUGGACAAUGGGGCAACCCUGAUCCAGCCAUGCCGCGUGAGUGAAGAAGGCCUUCGGGUUGUAAAGCUCUUUCGGCCGGGAAGAAAUCGCAUGGGCUAAUACCCUGUGCGGAUGACGGUACCGGCAUAAGAAGCACCGGCUAACUACGUG
rnacentral:rRNA from 1 species